rnacentral:ncRNA from 2 species
GAUAAAGAUAAAGGUAGCGGUGCAGAUGAGUACACAGUGGAGCAGGCAUGCAUUGAAGUUGUGGAAAGGCAAUCAUCGCCGAAAGUCUAUGGGUGGCGAUCCAAGAUUUGGGGUAUCGGGAAAGACCCGAUGCACUCCUUCAUACGAAGAGGCGUUAUCGAAAGC